rnacentral:rRNA from 1 species
AGUUUGAUUAUGGCUCAGAUUGAACGCUGGCGGGAUGCUUUGCCACAUGCAAGUCGAACGGCAGCACGGACUUCGGUCUGGUGGCGAGUGGCGAACGGGUGAGUAAUGUAUCGGAACGCCUAGUAAAGGGGAUAAUCACGCGAAAGGGUAGCUAAUACUGCAUACGCCCUUCGGGGGAAAGCGGGGACCUUCGGGCCUCGCACUAUUAGAGCGCCGAUAUCGGAUUAGCUAGUUGGUGGGGUAACGGCUCACUAAGGCGACGAUCCGUAGCUGGUUUGAGAGGACGACCAGCCACACUGGGACUGGAGACACGGCCCAGACUCCUACGGAGGCAGCAGUGGGAAUUCUGACAAUGGGGAAACCCCGAUCCAGCCAUCCCGCGUGUGCGAUGGCGGCCUUUGGGUUGUAAAGCACUUUUGGCAGGAGGCGAAACGGCACGGAUAAUACCCCGUGUAACUGACGGUACCCGUAUCAAGCACCGGCUAACUACGUGCCAGCAGCCGCGGUAAUACGUAGGGUGCAAGCGUUAAUCGGAAUUACUGGGCGAAGCGUGCGCAGGCGGUUCGGAAAGAAAGAUGAAAUCCCAGAGCUUAACUUUGGAACUGCAUUUUUAACUACCGAGCUAGAGUGUGUCAGAGGGAGGUGAAUUCCGCGUAGCAGUGAAAUGCGUAGAUAUGCAGAGGAACACCGAUGGCGAAGGCAGCCUCUGGGAUAACACUGACGCUCAUGCACGAAAGCGUGGGGAGCAAACAGGAUUAGAUACCCCGGUAGUCCACGCCCUAAACGAUGUCAACUAGCUGUUGGGGCCUCGGGCCUGCAGCGCAGCCAACGCGGCUGACCGCCUGGGGAGUACGAAUGCAAGAUUAAAACCCGAAGGAAUUGACGGGACCUGCACAAGCGGUGGAUGAUGUGGAUUAAUCUGAUGCAACGCGAAAACCUACCUACCCUGACACGUCUGGAACCGAAGAGAUUUGGGAGUGCUCGCAAGAGCACAACACAGGUGCCGGCUGCCGUCAGCUCGUGUCGUGAGAUGUUGGGUUAAGUCCCGCAACGCGCAACCCUUGUCAUUAGUUGCCAAAAGGGCACUCGACGACUGCUGCGACAAACCGGAGGGUGGUGGUAUGUGGUGAGUCAAGUCCUCAUGGCCCUUAUGGGCAGGGCUUCACACGUCAUACAAUGGUCAGGACAGAGGGUCGCCAACCCGCGAGGGGGAGCCAAUCCCAGAAACCCGAUCGUAGUCCGGAUCGCAGUCUGCAACUCGACUGCGUGAAGUCGAAUCGCUAGUAAUCGUGAUCAGCAUGUCGCGGUGAAUACGUUCCCGGGUCUUGUACACACCGCCCGUCACACCAUGGGAGUGGGUUUUACCAGAAGUAGUUAGCCUAACCGUAAGGAGGGCGAUUACCACGGUAGGAUUCAUGACUGGGGUGAAGUCGUAACAAGGUAGCUCCUCACCUGAUGCCCUG